rnacentral:lncRNA from 1 species
AGCCCAGGAGCAGCAUAGACACCGGGCAGCACAGUGCUACAGAGCUAAAGCCUGAGGAGAGGUCCUCCUUUUUUGUCCUCCACUUCUUGGUGGAGCUGCACUCCCAGGAGAAUCCACCAGCUGAACUCCUGGCCCAGCUGGAGCAAGCUGAGUCCACUGAGGCACAGCCCACGGGACCAGCUCCAGCCCCAGCUGAAGUCCCACGUGCGGAGCCCGAGCCAGCUCCACCUGCAGCUUCCUGCCCAGGCUGGGACCACAGCCAGAGUCCGUGGCAGCCUCUUCACCUGCUGCAGUGCUGGGGCACCUGGUGGUUGCACGGCGGUUGGUGUCACCUCCUGAGCUCCGCCUGGGGCCAGCUCCUGGCCCCUCCCACUGUUUCCCUC